CUUCUAUUUUAAGUUCAAAUGAGAUUUCAAUUGAUUACCUGCUAAUUUUCUUCAUAUUGACUUGUAUAUAUAUAUUUCAAACCUUUUUAAUAAUCGAUUUACACAAACAUUAUGUUAUAAUUUCCACGUAGGAAACAAAUCUCUAAAUAUUAUUAAAAGAGAUACCUUAUGACAUUAUCUAAAACAAUUUGGAUCGUUGAUUGUGUUUUCUUUAUAGGUUUUACACCCAUAGAUCAAUUUGCUUACGUCACCUUGAUCAAACAAGAAGUCAAUCCGUUAUAUUAGGAAAUUAAAUGUAGGAAUUGAAUGAAAAUGAUACUUGAAUUCUUUCCAAACUUACAACUACAAAAUUGGUUCCUUAUUAAUGUAAACCUUAAAUUUAGGCUCUAUUUCCAUUCAAAAUUUCUUUCCAAAUACAUUUUAUGUUGAAAUCUCGGAAACUAUUAAUUUCAAAUUUCAAAAGUUUCAAAUAUUUUUAUGAACCAAUACACUUUCAAGCAGGAUAUCUUUUAUUUUAUGUUCAAAUGAGAUUUCAAUUGAUUACCUGCUAAUUUUCAUCAUAUUGACUUGUAUAUAUAUUUCAAACCUUUUUAAUAAUCGAUUUACACAAACAUUAUGUAAUAAUUUCCACGUAGAAAACAAAUCUCUAAAUAUUAUUAAAAGAGAAACCUUAUGACAUCACCUAAAACAAUCUGGAUCGUUGAUUGUGUAUCUAGGCUCUAACACAGAAUUCAUUUUUGCAAAAUGUUCGGAAUUUGUAAUCAAUAGAAUACNUUCAUAUUGACUUGUAUAUAUAUUUCAAACCUUUUUAAUAAUCGAUUUACACAAACAUUAUGUAAUAAUUUCCACGUAGAAAACAAAUCUCUAAAUAUUAUUAAAAGAGAAACCUUAUGACAUCACCUAAAACAAUCUGGAUCGUUGAUUGUGUAUCUAUGCUCUAACACAGAAUUCAUUUUUGCAAAAUGUUCGGAAUUUGUAAUCAAUAGAAUACACAAAAAUAACACAUGCAUUAAUGAUUUAAUACAUACUCACAGUGUUCUUGAAUUCGUAAUAAAAGCUCAGAGUCUCUCGAUUUAGCUAACGCCUUCAUCUUAUGCGUCGAGAGGAAAAUUGAAAUAACAAAUUCGUAGAGCUUUGUAGAAAUAGAACCAGAAUGUGAGGCCCGUGUAUUUGACGCAGGUGGUGAGUGAUUG
rnacentral:lncRNA from 1 species